GAACCCACCCUUAAUUACCAUAGACAAAUGUAAUUUAAUUAAAAGAAAAUAAGAGUGAAAUUUGAAUCCACAUUGAACAACAUACUCUAGUGCAACGUAGCAAUGUUCCAUUAACCCAAAAGCUUUACAAUAUCAUCAAAAGGCUAAUUACUUUUAUCCUAAAACUACCCAUCAGAAACCAGAUAAUUCAUCUACCAAGGAUACCAUUUUACUUUGGCC
rnacentral:lncRNA from 1 species